AAUAUCUCUGUGUUAAUCUUUUGCAAAUUCCACAAAGAAUACACCUUAUAUGUCUUUGAGCCAAAAAAUUAGCCCCAUGUACCCAUUUAUCACAUUUUCUACAAAGAAAUGCAUCAUCUGCUUGACAAUAUAAAUAAGCCUCUGAUCUACACAGUGCACAAGAAACACAUCUAGCAAUAUUAGCCUUGGUUUUUUCUUUUACAAAGUGCACAAGAAACACAUCUAGCAAUAUUAGCCUUUGUUGUUUCUUCUUCAUCUUCUCUUCUUCCUUUACACAUUUUUUAGUUCUUUUUUUUUUUUGGAGAAAAUAAUAAAUUGAAGAUAUGAGUGAAGAAAUGGCAAAGGGGUGGUAUUUAUAGAGUUUUUUUUUGAAUGUAGGUGUGUUGCUUCUUUGUAUGAAUUCUUUGGAAAGACUACGUUG
rnacentral:lncRNA from 1 species